AGCGGCGGACGGGUGAGUAAUGCUUAGGAAUCUGCCUAUUAGUGGGGGACAACAUUCCGAAAGGAAUGCUAAUACCGCAUACGUCCUACGGGAGAAAGCAGGGGAUCUUCGGACCUUGCGCUAAUAGAUGAGCCUAAGUCGGAUUAGCUAGUUGGUGGGGUAAAGGCCUACCAAGGCGACGAUCUGUAGCGGGUCUGAGAGGAUGAUCCGCCACACUGGGACUGAGACACGGCCCAGACUUCUACGGGAGGCAGCAGUGGGGAAUAUUGGACAAUGGGCGGAAGCCUGAUCCAGCCAUGCCGCGUGUGUGAAGAAGGCCUUUUGGUUGUAAAGCACUUUAAGCGAGGAGGAGGCUACUCUAGUUAAUACCUAGAGAUAGUGGACGUUACUCGCAGAAUAAGCACCGGCUAACUCUGUGCCAGCAGCCGCGGUAAUACAGAGGGCGCGAGCGUUAAUCGGAUUUACUGGGCGUAAAGCGUGCGUAGGCGGCUGAUUAAGUCGGAUGUGAAAUCCCUGAGCUUAACUUAGGAAUUGCAUUCGAUACUGGUCAGCUAGAGUAUGGGAGAGGAUGGUAGAAUUCCAGGUGUAGCGGUGAAAUGCGUAGAGAUCUGGAGGAAUACCGAUGGCGAAGGCAGCCAUCUGGCCUAAUACUGACGCUGAGGUACGAAAGCAUGGGGAGCAAACAGGAUUAGAUACCCUGGUAGUCCACGCCGUAAACGAUGAUAACUAGCUGUUCGGGCACUUGGUGCCUGAGUGGCGCAGCUAACGCAUUAAGUUAUCCGCCUGGGAGUACGGUCGCAAGAUUAAAACUCAAAGGAAUUGACGGGGGCCUGCACAAGCGGUGGAGCAUGUGG
rnacentral:rRNA from 1 species